CAGCACUAAAGGUCCGCCAUUCGGAGGCUCACUUUGCUUAAAAUCUCCACAAGAAGAGAAGAUGAAGGUUAUCGCCGCUUACUUGUUGGCCGUCUUGGGUGGCAACACCUCCCCUUCAGAGAAGGAUUUGAAGAAAAUCCUUGCAUCUGUUGGAGCUGAGGCUGAUGAUGAUAGGAUUCAACUACUACUCUCUCAAGUUGAGGGCAAAGAUAUCACUGAGUUGAUUGCUGCCGGCAGAGAAAAAUUGGCUUCAGUACCUGCUGGUGGAGGUGCUGCUUGUGCAGUUGCUGCACCUGGUGGUGGCGGUGCUGCACCUGCUGCUGAGGAGAAGAAGGAAGAAAAGAAAGUGGAAGAAAAAGAAGAGUCAGACGAUGACAUGGGUUUCAGUCUUUUCGAUUAGAAGUCGAAGAAAUCAGUUUAUGAAGUAUCCCCUUUUCCAUUUGUUGUUCCCCUUGAGAGUGUAUUUUAGGAGGUUUAUUGUCUACUUACAGAUUUUGCUUGAACUUAGAAUUUUCAUGGAAAACAUUUGCAAACAGUUGAAAUUAUAAUAUGUAUUUCAAAUGUUCAGCUUGGUUCAAUAUAUCUACCCUUUUUG
rnacentral:misc_RNA from 1 species